rnacentral:rRNA from 1 species
AUUGAACGCUGGCGGCAGGCCUAACACAUGCAAGUCGGACGGUAGCACAGGGGAGCUUGCUCCUCGGGUGACGAGUGGCGGACGGGUGAGUAAUGUCUGGGGAUCUGCCCGAUAGAGGGGGAUAACCACUGGAAACGGUGGCUAAUACCGCAUAAUGUCGCAAGACCAAAGAGGGGGACCUUCGGGCCUCUCACUAUCGGAUGAACCCAGAUGGGAUUAGCUAGUAGGCGGGGUAACGGCCCACCUAGGCGACGAUCCCUAGCUGGUCUGAGAGGAUGACCAGCCACACUGGAACUGUGACACGGUCCAGACUCCUACGGGAGGCAGCAGUGGGGAAUAUUGCACAAUGGGCGCAAGCCUAAUGCAGCCAUGCCGCGUGUAUGAAGAAGGCCUUCGGGUUGUAAAGUACUUUCAGCGGGGAGGAAGGCGAUGUGGUUAAUAACCGCGUCGAUUGACGUUACCCGCAGAAGAAGCACCGGCUAACUCCGUGCCAGCCGCCGCCGCAG